CUUAUCUUUAACAGUUUCGGGAGAAUUGUGAAACGAGUCAGUCACUAUUGAAAAUAGAAAAAAGUGGAAGCCGCCGUGAUGCCGAGAAAGAAAAAAACCCGACCAGCCGCUAAGAAGACCCCAAAACCGACAGGGUCGGCCAACGAUGUUGAAGAUUGUGUAAUUUGUGUUCUGGAGAUUUUAAAUCCUUUCAAACUGCCCUGCGGGCACUCCUUUUGUACGGAAUGUCUCGAAUUUUCGGUCAAUUCGAGAGCUGAAAAUGAAGGUCCAACCAUCUCGGUUAGAGCUGAAAAUGAAACUCGAAGCACCUGUCCAUUGUGCCGUGCUAUAUUUCGCACCGGUCCUCUGCUCCUCUACGCUAAAAGUCAAACAAAACACGACUCCUAAUACAUACACAAUACGGACUCUUAAGCGUCAAAACAGAUUUUCACCACACUCCGCCUCAUUUUGACGUUGAGCAACACUUUUUAUAUUCAACAUUUUGUAGCUUCGAGAAAAUUCUCAGAACAGCUGGCAAGAAAAUAGUUAGUUUUGCCGUAAUCUACUAAAAAAUAUGGCGACUAAUAAGAAGGACAAGCCAGCUGAAGCUGAGGAAGAAACUAAGACGGGCAGCGCUGAAGACGUUUGCCCCAUUUGCUGUGGUCCGAAAGUGGUUCCCUUGGCAUUGCCCUGCAAGCACACGUUCUUCAUGCGUUGUCCAGUGUGCCGCGAAAUGUUUUGCUCAAAAAAAUCUGUUGCCACUUCCCUCCAGCCAUAGUUCUGAGCAUAUAAACACAUACAAAGUACAUAUGUAUGUAUACUCACAAAAGCCAAAUAAAUUUUAAUUAAUAA
rnacentral:sRNA from 1 species